CCCUUAGAUGUCCUGGGCUGCACGCGCGCUACACUGAUGUGUCCAGUAAGCACCUAACCUCUUCCGAAAGGAACGGGUAACCUUUGCAAAGCACAUCGUGAUGGGGAUAGAUUAUUGCAAUUAUUAGUCUUGAACGAGGAAUUCCUAGUAAGCACAAGUCAUCAGCUUGUGUUGAUUACGUCCCUGCCCUUUGUACACACCGCCCGUCGCUCCUACCGAUUGAAUGGUUUAGUGAGAUCCUUGGAUCGGCCCUGUCGCGGCUGGCAACGGCCGCGUCGGCGCGUCGAGAAGACGAUCAAACUUGAUCAUUUAGAGGAAGUAAAAGUCGUAACA
rnacentral:rRNA from 1 species